CUAAAGUAGAAGCAGAACUCUGAAUAAAUCUUUAGAAUGAACAAGUUUUAUUCAUCUUUUCCAUAGAUCUUUGUCCUCCAUCUUCAUGGAAGUUCGUUGCAGUGAUUCUGUGGAUAACUUGCCUGAUGCUUGUUUUGUCUGUUGGAAUCUUAGCCACAAUGUUGCAUCAGAAGUCAUGAAAAGAGAAAGGAUAUCCAGGAAAUCUCUCCCUUAAUCAGGAAACAAAUAAAACAGGUCAAAGUAUGAGUCA
rnacentral:lncRNA from 1 species